GCAUAUCAAUAAGCGGAGGAAAAGAAACCAACAGGGAUUGCCCUAGUAACGGCGAGUGAAGCGGCAACAGCUCAAAUUUGAAAUCUGGCCCUCGUGGUCCGAGUUGUAAUUUGUAGAGGAUGCUUUUGGUGCGGUGCCUUCCGAGUUCCCUGGAACGGGACGCCAUAGAGGGUGAGAGCCCCGUCUGGUUGGACACCAAUCCUCUGUAAAGCUCCUUCGACGAGUCGAGUAGUUUGGGAAUGCUGCUCUAAAUGGGAGGUAAAUGUCUUCUAAAGCUAAAUACCGGCCAGAGACCGAUAGCGCACAAGUAGAGUGAUCGAAAGAUGAAAAGCACUUUGAAAAGAGGGUUAAAUAGUACGUGAAAUUGUUGAAAGGGAAGCGUUUGUGACCAGACUUGGGCUUGGUUAAUCAUCCAGCGUUCUCGCUGGUGCACUUUGCCAGCCCAGGCCAGCAUCAGUUCGCUGCGGGGGAUAAAAGCUUCGGGAACGUGGCUCUUCGGAGUGUUAUAGCCCGCUGCAUAAUACCCUGUGGCGGACUGAGGUUCGCGCAUCUGCAAGGAUGCUGGCGUAAUGGUCAUCAACGACCCGUCUUGAAACACGGACCAAGGAGUCGUCUUCGUAUGCGAGUGUUCGGGUGUCAAACCCCUACGCGUAAUGAAAGUGAACGGAGGUGGGAGCCUCGGCGCACCAUCGACCGAUCCUGAAGUUUACGGAUGGAUUUGAGUAAGAGCAUACGGGGCCGGACCCGAAAGAAGGUGAACUAUGCCUGUAUAGGGUGAAGCCAGAGGAAACUCUGGUGGAGGCUCGCAGCGGUUCUGACGUGCAAAUCGAUCGUCAAAUAUGGGCAUGGGGGGCGAAAGACUAAUCGAACCUUCUAGUAGCUGGGUUUCCGCCGAA
rnacentral:rRNA from 1 species